rnacentral:lncRNA from 1 species
AUGAGCGUAGCCAGAUGGGAUGACUUGACAAAGUCACAAACGCUGACGAAUCCCGGCGGGGGAGUUGUGGCUUCCUCCAAAGGAAGCUCCCUGUCCUUCCCCCUCGAUGGGGGCUUAGGGGCCCAGCUCACCACUCACGCUCCCACAACGUCCAGCGUCCAUGCCUGCAGCCUGUUUCCUGGGAAUUUCAGUCCAUGUGGAGCGAGAGGCCAGGUCUCCUGCUCUGAGCCCAGGAGGGCACGUCCUCCGCCAGCUCUCAGCACUGGCUCUGCUUCCUGUUUACUUCUGCAAGUAGCCGGGAUUGUGGGGUCUGCAGCCAGCCCUGUGGUCCGAAGCCAGCCAGGCUCGAGGGGUUAUCAUCCUAUCAGCCGAGAUAGGCUGACGGGCUCUGCCAUCCGUCAACUGUCUUCUGAUGUAAUUGAAAGUUCUCUGUCCUGGAAUGUCAUCUUAUUAGGUGGAUCAGGCCUUGACGUGUUAACCGGAGAGUUGCUGCAGGGCUCAGCUAGUUAUUUUAUUUUUUCAAAAUUAAGAGGCGUAUAGUCUUUUAAAACUCUCAGAACAAGUUCUUAUGAAAAUUUUCCAAAAAAUCAUCAGACCAUAAAGAAAAAAGUAAUGAUCACCCAAAACCACAUCACUCCGAAAUAAUAUUUUGGUAACAUUUCAUUAAACAUCUGUCUAUGCAAAUUAUAUCCAGAGAGAUUCAUGUGUAUGUAUGUUUCGAAAAUGGAAUCAGAUCUCCCAUGCUGCUGUUGACCUGCUUUUCUAUUUGACGCCACAAUAUGGCAGGGAUGUGUCCCCAUGUCAAUAAAUACAGAUUUACACCAUCUAUAAACAGUUGUAUAGCAUUCUCCAGGUGUGGCAUUUAGACUUUUUCUUUUCAUUUUCUUUCUUUUUUUUUUUUUUUGCUGUGAUAUGUUAUAAACAACACCACAAUGAACAUGUUUUGCACAUUUGUGUAAAUAUUUCCUUGGGAUCAACGCCUAGAGUCAGGAUAACUGGAGCAUGGGGCAUUCACAUGCACGGUGACCAUCUGAGCAAACUACACACAGGGAAGUGCCAAUUUUCCUCCCACAAACAACCUACACUGGGUUCCAGUUCUCAGCCCUGCAUCACACUGAGCGCCCAAUUCUUUCAUUUAGCUGCUUCCAACAGUAGAAAGUAGCAUCUCAUUGUUGCUCUUUGGUCUUUAAAAAAUUACAUUGUACGUAUGUAUCAGGCAUUUAUGCACCUGUGAACUAGCCCAGCUACUUAAAAUUAGAUCCUCAUGCUGCAAGAGCUGUAAUGGUCAACAGAUCCAACCCCACUCCCAAACCUCCAUCCACCCACCAUCCACAUACUUGGAUCAUCUCAACUGUUUCUCUCCAAAGAGCUAGCCUUGCCUCUGGUCUGUUUGAACACUCCCAUCCACGGGAGCUCAUCACUGUCUGAGAUGGUCCACUGUGUUCCCAGCUCUAAUUUAUUAACCUAUAAAAGCCAGUAUAUAUGGAAUAACCACGCUGGGCCAGGAACGACAGGAAGCCCUUUGCUGAACAGUGUCUCCAGCCUCAAACAGUGCUGAAAACAUGUAUCACUCUUUCCUUCUUUGUUCCAUCAGGGUCACCAGAUGCAGGGGGGUUAAGUAACUUGCCAAGGUUCACACAGCUCUAAAGGAGCUGAACAAAUAACUGAACAUGAGGAAACCGUGCACAACUUGAAAGGCUCACAGAGGAAACUUUAAGCUGGUUAGAGAUCUGACAAAAAUAAAAUAAUUUCUCAAAGUAUAGAUUUCUUUAAAGACUUCCUUUCCUUCAGGCACUUUAUCUUCAGCUGCCCAAGGAUACACAGCAACUGUCAGACACCCAUGGAGUCUGGGCUUUGUGCAAGAGCUGCGCUAGUCUCUGCAGCUACCAGAAAGCAGGAAGGCCUGGCCUCAAACAUGUUCCAGUAGACUCGGGUGUCACUGGCCCGUGUGCUUAUGGCUCACAGAUUACCAGGCCAAAAAAAGCCUAACUUAAUUGAUAGAGGUCUCAGAUUAAUUCAAAGCACUCACCUCUAUUUUUUCCUACUGUAGCUGGUUUCAGAGAUGAGAUUUCCUAGGCACAGAAAUGCCCUUAGGCAAAUCAGAGGCCCAAUUUGCAACAAUCCCACUUGGCCCUCGUAUCCUGAUGUCCUGCCACCUGAAAACAUCAUUCUUGGGGUGUCCCGUCCUCAGGUCUCUUAAGGAAAGGCUCUGGCAUCAGUCAUUCACUUUAGUAUGAAUCAGCCCAACAAUUUAAGUAGUUAGACUCUAUGAUGAACACAUGAAUUUUUUUAAUGGGGCUCAUUUAUUCAUGAGAUGGAUGUCUGUGAUUUGGAGAGGAGGCUUCUCAGCUUCCCCCAAAUGAAUCCUUAAAUUUCAUCUCACCCUCCCUUUCUGUACAACUUACCUUUCUUGAGCACUGAUCUGUCCUUUGGACAAACAGGUAACAAGCUACGGGUUGCUACUCAUCUGAGGAAGGUUAGGCCACAGAAAUGAAAUCUUUCAUUAAGUUUCAAAGCAAAACACACAAAACUCAACC